rnacentral:rRNA from 1 species
CCGCGGUAAUACGUAGGGUGCGAGCGUUAAUCGGAAUUACUGGGCGUAAAGCGGGCGCAGACGGUUACUUAAGCAGGAUGUGAAAUCCCCGGGCUCAACCUGGGRACUGCGUUCUGAACUGGGUGACUAGAGUGUGUCAGAGGGAGGUAGAAUUCCACGUGUAGCAGUGAAAUGCGUAGAGAUGUGGAGGAAUACCGAUGGCGAAGGCAGCCUCCUGGGAUAACACUGACGUUCAUGCCCGAAAGCGUGGGUAGCAAACAGGAUUAGAUACCCUGGUAGUCCACGCCCUAAACGAUGUCGAUUAGCUGUUGGGCAGCAUGACUGCUUAGUAGCGAAGCUAACGCGUGAAAUCGACCGCCUGGGGAGUACGGUCGCAAGAUUAAAACUCAAAGGAAUUGACGGGGACCCGCACAAGCGGUGGAUGAUGUGGAUUAAUUCGAUGCAACGCGAAGAACCUUACCUGG